rnacentral:rRNA from 1 species
GACGAACCGAGCGAACGUUGUUCGGAAUCACUGGGCUUAAAGGGCGCGUAGGCGGGUGCUCAAGUCCGUGGUGAAAUCCUCCGGCUCAACCGGAGAACUGCCUCGGAUACUGGGCGUCUCGAGUGUGGUUGGGGUAUGCGGAACUAUCGGUGGAGCGGUGAAAUGCGUUGAUAUCGAUAGGAACUCCGGUGGCGAAGGCGGCAUACUGGACCACCACUGACGCUGAUGCGCGAAAGCCAGGGGAGCGAACGGG